UACGAAGGGGGCUAGCGUUGCUCGGAAUCACUGGGCGUAAAGCGCACGUAGGCGGAUUGUUAAGUCAGGGGGUGAAAUCCUGGAGCUCAACUCCAGAACUGCCUUUGAUACUGGCGAUCUCGAGUCCGGGAGAGGUGAGUGGAACUGCGAGUGUAGAGGUGAAAUUCGUAGAUAUUCGCAAGAACACCAGUGGCGAAGGCGGCUCACUGGCCCGGGUACUGACGCUGAGGUGCGAAAGCGUGGG
rnacentral:rRNA from 1 species